GGACCACCUCCUCCCUGUCCCGGCCACAGCGGUCUGGACACAUCAAGCACGGACAUGUUUUCUGAGCAGGCUGCCCAGAGGGCCCACACUCUGCUGUCCCCACCAUCAGCCAGCAACGCUACCUUUGCCCGGGUGCCCGUGGUGACUUACACCAACUCCUCGCAGCCCUUCCGGCUGGGGGAGCGCAACUUUAGCCGGCAGUAUGCCCACAUUUAUGCCACCCGCCUCAUCCAGAUGAGGCCCUUCCUGGUGAGCCGGGCCCAGCAGCGCUGGGGCAAUGGAGUCCUGAUUAAGAAGCUGUGUGAGCUGCAGCCUGGGGAGAAGUGCUGUGUGGUAGGGACCCUCUUCAAGGCCAUGCUGCUGCAGCCGUCCAUCCUGCGGGAGGUCAGCGAAGAGCACAACCUGCUCCCCCAGCCUCCUCGGAGCAAAUACAUCCACGCAGACGAUGAACUGAUCUUGGAAGAUGAAUUGCAGCGUAUCAAACUGGCGGGUGCCAUCGACGUGGCAAAGCUGGUCACAGGGACGGUCCUGGCUGUGCUGGGCUCUGCAGGAGACGAUGGGAAGUUCCUGGUGGAGGACCACUGCUUUGCAGGGCUUGCUCCCCAGAAGCCCACACGCCCCCUCGACACGGCCAGGUUUGUGCUGCUGGUGUCCGGCCUGGGCCUGGGUGGAGGCGGGGGCGAGAGCCUGCUGGGCACCCAGCUGCUGGUGGACGUGGUGACAGGGCAGCUUGGGGAUGAAGGGGAGCAGUGCAGCGCCGCCCACGUCUCCCGGGUCAUCCUCGCUGGGAACCUCCUGAGCCACAACACCCAGAGCAGAGACUCCAUCAAUAAGGCCAAGUACUUAACCAAGAAAACCCAGGCAGCCAGCGUGGAGGCUGUCAAGAUGCUGGACGAGAUCCUCCUGCAGCUGAGCGCUUCCGUGCCCGUGGACGUGAUGCCAGGCGAAUUUGACCCAACAAACUACACGCUCCCCCAGCAGCCCCUGCACCCCUGCAUGUUCCCACUGGCCACUGCCUACUCCACGCUCCAGCUGGUCACCAACCCCUACCAGGCCACCAUCGAUGGAGUCAGAUUCCUGGGGACGUCGGGACAGAACGUGAGUGACAUCUUCCGGUACAGCAGCAUGGAGGACCACUUGGAGAUCCUGGAGUGGACCCUGCAAGUCCGUCACGUCAGCCCUACAGCCCCUGACACCCUAGGUUGUUACCCUUUCUACAACACCGACCCGUUCAUCUUUCUGGAGUGCCCUCACGUCUAUUUUUGUGGCAACACCCUCAGCUUUGGCUCCAAAAUCAUCCGAGGCCAGGGUCAGGCUUCUGGGGCCUGGGAGGCCGGAAGUAAUAGUCCACUGUGGGGAGGGAGAGCCCUGAUGAGAUGGCCCACCACGAGCCGGGGCUCCUAGGUUCACAGGAGCCCAGUGGGCCGGACUGGGCACGCGGUGCACAAGAUCAGACAGUUUGGAUCUCGAGGCAACUCUGGCUGGAGCCUUGGGAGGCAUGAGGGUCAGUCUCAUCCCUGUGUGGGCCCCAGGUGACCUUGAUCCGUUCCCCUCUCCCACCAGACCUCAGGGUGGGAACCCUGAGGUCACUACAAACCUAGUGACCACACCUCCGCACGAGAUAGAGAGAUGAUGGAGUGGCCCCAUCCGAGCACUCACUCUCCACGUCCAGGGAAUGAGGGGGUCCCCGGAGGAGGGUGCCCCGAACCCUGGGUGGCCUCUCUUCCCUAAUAGGAAGAGCCAUGCUCUGGGACUCUCAGGGAACUCAUCCAUUCUAAAGGUUUCAGCAGAGUCUCUGCACCCAGGGACACCACACCUCAGCUUCCUGAGUGUCUGAAAAGAUGCCCCCAGGCCGUCCUUCUAGGACUACCAGCCAUGUCGGCAGGAGACUGCCUCAUCCCAUGUCACUGUAGCCUGAGAGUCCAUGAUCUCAUCACCCUCCACUUCCUAGCCCCCAGCCCGCCCCUAUCCUGCCACAGCACCACCCCCCUCACUCUGGGUCCCCAGCGAUCUAAGCACGUGUCUGUGGGUGUGUGUCCCUGACUGCGGCUCAUUUGUUCACUGGGCGGGUCUCCACGGAGCUUUCAACAAGGUCCAGCCCUGAGCGUGGCCCAGAGACCCAGCAAUCAUGGAGGUAUCCUUCCUCUGAAGAUGUUCAGGCCAGAGGGAACAGGAUGGGACGCGGGUUCGAGCCCUGGUCCGGGAAGAUCCCACAUGCCGUGGAGCAACUAAACUCAUGUGCCACAACUACUGAGCCUGCGCUCUAGAAUCCGCGAGCCACAGCUACUGAAGCCUGUGCGCCUAGAGCCCGUGCUCCGCAACAAGAGAAGCGACUGCAAUGAGAAGCCCGCGCACCGCAACGAAGAGUGGCCCCCGCUCACCGCAACUAGAGAAAACUCGUGCGCAGCAACGAAGACCCAACACAGCCAAAAAUAAAAUAAAUACAUUUAUUAAAGAAAAAAAUGCUCCUGGUGGAGGCGGUACCAGGAAAUCACUGUCUGAGCACUGUCCUGCAGGACCAUUUGGCUGCAGAGAUCAGAAACCCCACUGUGAUGAGUAAUUUUGUGUGUCCCCUGACUGGGCUAAGGGAUGCCCAGAUCAACGGUGAAACAUCAUUUCUGGGUGUUUCUGUGAGGCUGUUUCCGAAAAAGAGUCACUGAUCUGAAUCAGUGGACUGAGAAAAGCAGAUGGCCCUCCUCAGUGUGGGUAGCCCCAAUCUCUGCUUGAGCUGGGACGUCCAUUUCCUGCCCUCGGACAUCAGCUCUCUCGGUUCUCAGGCCUUUGGGUUUGCACUGAACUGCACGACUGGCUCCCCUGGGCCUCCAGCUUGCAGACGGCAGAUGGCAGCCUCCAUAACCAUGUGAAUCAAUCCUUCCUAAUAAGUCUCUCUCUAUACAUGUAUAUGUAUCCUGCGGGUUCUGUUUCUCUGGGGAACCCUGACUGAUACACUCUCUAAAGCAGCUGAGCCCUGACAGGCGAUCCCGCGGGUGCCUGGUGGGACAGAGGGCCACCACGUUCCCCUGCAGCCCAGCCUUCACUGUUCACCCAGACCCCUCCAUACACCAGAACUUCAGCCUGGACUUCAGCUCGAUGCAUUUCCCAGAGGGGACUUGGACCUGGCAACUGGACUCCACCCUAUACCUUAUUCCAAUUAGCUGCUGGAGGGGUCGGCCGUGUGCCCAGGUAUGGCUGCACCGGCCGCCUCCCCUGGAGCCAGAAGAGGACCCGAGGCCUGGGUAGGCCCUGGGCUCAUCUUCUCGGGAAACUGGACGCCAGCCUCAUAAAUGAGCAUGUGCCCCAACAUCUGCACCCCUCUGCCACUCCAAGGACAGAUUUUCCCGUCCUGAAGUGCAUUGUGACCUCAAGAACGAUGAGAGCACACCUGGGCUGUCCUGCUGGAGGACAAGACCACAGGGAACAAAGCUGAGACCAUGCAAAACAGGCUGCCACAGCCAGUGGGACACAAGAGGGAGACCAGCGAGACCAGCCAAGCUGGGCUCAGAUGGGCAGAGCUGCCCAGGCAGCUGGCAGGCAG